rnacentral:lncRNA from 1 species
CAACCUUGAAAGGUUAUAAAAUGAUAAUAAUAAAUUGGUAAAAAGAAAAGAUUUAUGAAUAGUUAGUUUUUAUAUCUAUUUAUUAAGUAGGUUGAAGGAACAAACACAAUAUACAAUACGUUGAAGUUUAUAAAGUGGUCAUAAAAUAUAUUUGAUUUGAUUCUCGGUGUUUAGAUAAAAUAUGUUUAAAGUUAUCAAAUUUGUUUAUGUUAAAAUUAUCUUUCUUUUUUUUUCUUUUUUCGCAAUGAAUAUUGAUGGUCGAUUUCUUUUUGCAAUGCAUACCGAUGGUCGUCGGUUUGAAGGCCAGUUUCAUUAUAAUUGGGUUAAACCUUGUUCUCUACACACUGAUUGUCCAGAUGAUAUGUGCAAGCCUUCUUUCGGACCACUAUGUAUUGAGUGGAUGUGUAAGUGUCGAUUCAAUAAAAUAGAAAACUAAGAGAGUACAUAAACUCUUUCUUAGAAUAUUUCAUAAGUUAUUCUCUAGUUAUUGUAUUGAUACCCAAUAAAAAAUUUAGUUAUGAAUUUGUAUUAAUAUUUUAUGGUAACAAAAUAUCCUUAAUAGUUCAGUUUAAAAUUAGUUUUUAUGUUAUUUUUAAAUUUAUAGUUCAGGAGGUCGGACACUGAUAGAGAAAAUUAAAAACAAAAAAACUCUAUAUUGGAUGGUUGCCGAGAAGCCCAAUUAUAUUCAUCAAUACUCCAUUCUUAAUUUUAACUUAAAAUCUUCAUCCCCAACAUAAAAGAAUUAUUGUCGUGCAUGCCUUAAAAAAAUUCAUUUACAAAUAUGAAACUCAUAUAACUUGUUGCAAACUAGAGUGGUGUUAGAGUCAACAAAGUCAGGUGGUUGGUCCAUGUAAACCUCUUAUUAGAGAUCCCCAUUGAGAAAAGUAGUGUUGAUAUCAAUUUUUUGAAUUUUCCACUUGUAUGUGAUAAUGAAGGAAAAGAUAAUUCGAAUGGUGGUUAGUUUUACCACAGGUGAAAAUGUUUCUUGAAAAUCAAAUCUUUGUUAGUGAUUGAAUCCUUUUGCUACUAUGCUUGCUUUGUAUUUGUUAACACUCUCAUCUAGAUUUUCCUUUAAUUUAAACACCCACUUACGCCAUAUGUUUUUCUUAUUAGGUGGAAGUGUCAUUACUACAUAAAUACCAUUUCACCACGGUUGGAAAAUAAAUACUAUCAUGGUUUCUUAUUUGGCGGCAAACCUAACAAUAAGUAGAGAGAUAAAGAUGAUGGGAAAAACAAAGAGUGUCUCUAUUCCAUGUCUUAGAGAUAAAAUUGUUAAGGGAAGUCUCUAUGGAGAAUAUCACAACAAAAAUGUAGGCAAAACUCAAAAAUGUUAGAAUGAAGGAAUAAGAUUCCAUUGUGGAGGAAUUGUCAUGGUUCAAAAAAAAUCAGUGAUGACUUGCAAAAUAUUGAAGUGAAGAUUGACAAUGAGAACAUAUCUCUACCCUUGUUGAAUUAAUUACCUAAAUCCUUUAAAAAUUAUAAGGAUGCUUUUGUUUUAUGUUAAGGAUGACCUUAUCACCUUGGAUGAGGUCCAAUUGACGGUUAGAACAAAGGUUUUAACAAAGGUGAAAAAGUUUAUGGUUGAUGAUAAUGGCGAGGACUUAAAUUUUUCAAGAGGGAAAAUGAGAUUAAAGGAAACCAUAAGAGGGAAAAAUUUAGGUCUAAGUAAAAUUCAAAGGGUAUUUAUAAAUCAAAUUAUAAUGGAUUUUUCCAACAAAGGUUGCAAUGAGAGUUUUGUUGAGAUUAUGGUUGCCUCGGAUGACAAGUUGGGAAACUGAAAAGAUUUGGGUCAUGUAUUCUAUAAUAUCCAUAUCCUCUUAAAUAGUUUAUUCUUUGUUGGUUGGGAAAAAUUGAGUAAUUAGUAAACUAAUAUGAGACCAAUUCUUAAUCAAUUCUCUUAAUCCUUACUAAUUGAUAAAUGGGGACAUUUUGGUAAACUUGAUAAAUGGUAUUUUUGAGAAAAUGAGAUAAUGACAAGGGUAAAAUAGUCAAUUGUCCACUAAAUGACAAAAGAUCAUUUUACAUAUCAUUUCCCUUCGUCUCAUACCAUUCAUUUAAUAACUUUGUUAGUAAGAAAGCAAGAGAAAGAAGAAUUGAAGAAGAAUAGCAAAGGCUUGGAUUAAGAAGAGGAAAGGAAGGAUUCAUCUUAAUUUCAUCAUCUUCUUCUUCCGAUGAGGUGGGUUCCUAGUUAGUCUUAGCUUUAGGGGAAAAUUGCAUGGAAUUUGGAAGUUAGGGUUUUGAAAUUUAUGUUCAUGCAUGAUCUUCUUCUUCCGAUGUGUGGAUUGGUACUUGAUGAACUUUCAUCAUUUCAAAUCUACAUUCUAAGUGAUCAUGAAUCAUUUAAGGUACUUUGGAUUGAUGCAUACAUUUGUCUUAAGUGUCAUGAAGUGUAGAUUGAAGUAAUGGACCAUCCUUCUAUCCUUUGUGCUUGAUCAUCCCUUUUCUUUCUUUUUUUGUGUGGCAUGACUUUAGGAGAAUGAUUGACGUAUCAUUUCUCUAGCAUGUAUUAACACAAACAUUAUUGUUGACCGACCUCAAAUAGUUGUGACUUCUACAUAAGUCCAAUUACGCUUGCUUAACAUAGCGCUAAAUUUGUCCCAAAGACAAUGGUAUUUUUAUAAGUGAGACUGUAAGUCUCAUAUUCCUCAUGAUAUUGUAUGGAAAUGUUGCUCCUUUUCCAUUUGUGAGAGUUAGUGACAUACUUGUUGAUUUUAUCCAAGUUGGAGCCCUUAUCACAAAUGAUGUAUAAGUUCAUAUUUUCAUGCUUGUGAGUGGAUAGUUGAGUGCUCUCCAAAAAAUGACCAAAAACUUCUUUUCAUCUUUACUAACAUCCCUUACUAACUCUUCACUUGUAUUAACUUCUAUUUUAAUAUCAUUUACUU